CGGCUCGCUCCGCUGCGCGGGCGGCCCGUCCGCGCUCACCCGGCCUCCUCGCGGGUCACGCUGAUCGCGCAGACGGGCCGCCUGGUCCUCUCGCAGUGGCUUGCGCUAUUACGAACGCGCGCUCGCUAGUAGUCGUGCCGGAGUCUUCCCGUCUAGUCCCGCACGAGCCGCGGCGCAGCCGCCCGACCCCGCGGCUGUAACGAGCGUCAGGUAUCGAGGCAUCCCGGUGGAGGUAAAGAUUAGCGGGGGGGAGCUGUGGAAAAAAAUCAAAGACCUCCAUCUCGCAACCUCUGCGUGUUCUAGUUAGACUGUUACGGGGGCAGAUAGGGACGAAGGUGAGAGAGGAGGAGGCUGCAUAGCAGUCUCCAGGAAAGGCUGCUGCACAUCGUCAUCUGAGGCCUUCGUGGCUGCUAGGAUCCAGCAGCCUUGCCACUUCGUGCCUUGCCUUGCCACUCGGGAUCACAGAGAUCCAAAGCUCAGUGAUGCUGAGUUGGCAAAAAUACACCUACGUAUCCCUGAAGGGCACAGCACACUUAAUAACAUCCCUUCCCUGAGGCUGUGGCAGGUCUUGGCCCUCAGCUGUAAAGCAAAGUUUUAGCAGUAAGCACAGGUUGUGCUAAUCAUGGGUAAAGUGUUGUGUUCAUCUUUAAAAGUACUGAGCAAGAUACGCUACAAAUCAAAACAUAAGAACACAAGUACUGCCCGACUGACUGUUCUGAAACGGGGUCUUCAUUGGCCCCAAGGACCUCUGCAAGCUAUGUAAGCCAAAGAAGGCAGAGUCUCCAGGAAAGAAAACACUCUGGAGGACCUCUGCAGACAUCUCUGGCCCUGUGAAGCGAGGACCAGACUCUCCAUGUGCAUGCGUACCUGCCUUCCUAACACGGUCACAGCUUCUCCAGCAGUCUCCAGCUAAAGCCUCUGCAGUCAGCAGUGCUACACCUGGCAUGCGAAGGAGAAUUCAUGCAGACACACACUAAAAAUCUGGGAGAACACAGACACAAUCCCCAACUUGCUCUCCCCUCUGUACUAUUUGGUGAAGGAAGGUCUCUCCUGCAUGGUAGACUCAAGAGCUGCAUUUCUAUGAGCCUUUUGUUCUUUAUUACCAUGAGCUCCAAAACAGGAAAGGACAUAGACGUUUCAGCAUGGACUUGGCUCAAAGUCCCUUGAAAUCUAAGAAUUUUAGAAUACAUGAAUACUUCUGUCGUGUCUAACAGAAGGAGGAUAUGUGUUUGGCACUCUACAAUGCUUUGCAUACCAACUGUGCUGAAGCAACGAUCUCCAUGCUGACUGUUGGUAAAGACUCUCCUGCUUUUAUUUUCUCUAAAAUCUAUGAAGAGGUUUCGCUUUCCCCUAGUUCUACAAAAUUUGGAUGAUUUCCUUCUGAAGUGGCAGAAAUUACCUUUUAUGCUCCGUAGCAGAACCCAGCAUUUCUUCUGCAGUUUUAACUGGGUGUUCAGACAUGUGGAACAGUUCCUAGCCUUUGCAAUUUCCAGUUCUGUUUGUAUGAGCUGAAGAACUCAGUAGCCUCUGCAAAGCAUUAAUGCUCUUACUACUCAAUUUUGCUAUGAGGUUCACCUGGAGGUUGCCUACUUCAUUUAGGGAAGAUGAGAACAGAAGAGAAAAGGCUGAAUGCCACAAAACAUUAGCAAAAUGCAUCAAAUCUCAGAGGUCAUUUGCAGCACAGUUAAAUGGAGCAGUGACUCAAAAUGCAAGAAUUCAUUCUGAGCCAUGGAGAAGCUGCAAGCCAAGAGCAGGACUUGGAAUCUGGGAAUUCAGGCACUAUUUCACUCACCUACCUGUCAAAUGAGUCACUUAUAUUUCAACAAUGUUAAAACACAGCCAGCAGCAGACAGAACACUGCCAGUGUAGGACAAUGAUUCUGCUGGCAGUCUCAGGUGUUACUAAAGAUGCAGGUGCUUCCAGUCAUGUUGAAAUGAUGGGGCUCUGCAUUUUAAUUUUGAUUAGCAAAUAGUCCACACAAAUCUACAUGAAAGGGGACAUGUAGACCUUGCUACCACUUUUGAAGUGUAUUUCUAAGGUCAAAUGCAGCACACUGCUCCAUCCCUUCCAAUGUUCCAAUGGCAGCCAGGAAGCAGAGUCAACAGGUGGUCCCAUUAAGAGGCACUGUGCCCAGUAAGGCACAGGGUCGGGACCUAGGGCUCAUGUUUACCAGGCAGCUUUCCAAACAUACCCACAUUGGCUGUCAUGAUUACAGUUCAGGACUGCCUUGUUUUUAACAGGUGUGGCUGCUGCCACCUCUGCUUUUCAUGAGCCCAAACUUUACUUGAAGCACAACUAUUCUGCUACCUGGCUUGAUUCAGGGAAGUUAAUCUAUCUAGCUGACCGACUGAAAGGACACUACAUGCAGGAGAGAUUCUAAUCCUGACCAGGAGCACACAAAGCACUUGGUGUUGAGAAUAAUGGCAGGGAGAUCAGGUAAGUUGAACAUCAAGCUGGCUUAGUGCUCCACGAAAGAGCCUACUGACUGUUUCCAUUCUAGUGCUGCUGUGACAACACUGUGGGGAACCAAUUUGUGAACUGUUGCUAGUGCAGUUUGGCAAGAAUAACUACAGUGUUUUCACUGGCUAGUCACACUGCUGACACUUCCUGAAUGUGACAGCCAGGCUGCAGCUCUCUGCAGUUGACUGGCAGUGGGGAAGUGCCUGACCUCCAAGCUGAGAGGCAGUUUUGCUGUUUAGCCACAGUCUUCCAGUACUUUGAAACAAUGCCACGCAGACUUUACACUUUGCAUUAAUAAGUAUGUUUCUUUAACUCCUAUCCCAUUUGCCAUUGGCUGACAGUACAGGCAGUCCAUGGGAAAGCAAUGCACCUAUCAGAAUGCUUAGUUACCAGAAGGACUUCACAGUCCAGCAGAAACAUUAAAACACGUAGACUUGAGUGCAGAGACUGCACAGCUAUAUAAUAAGCCAUUCCAAAAGAUCUAAAACCCAGGAAUCCACAAUUCCUAGUUUCCUGGCCUGUGACCUGAAAGAGCAUUUAUAGUGAACAUAUACUGUUUUCAGAAGAGCAGGGCUGCAGCCAGCUGCAGUUGGCAGAAUGCAAACACAGAGCUGUGUUUGGAGGUAUUACAGUGAUCCAUUACUAGAUUUAAAGGCACUUCCAGUUUCCCUUAAGCACCUUUCUAAAACAUAGUUUAAUUCACAUUAUUUAUAAUGCAUCUUGGAACUCAUUGUCAAUGAGGCAUUACAAAAAAUAUAGAAAGAUGAACAUUUGAUGCUCUCAGACUCCCCUUUUUUGCUUCUCUUAUUACAUUCAAACUCACUAGUUCAGCAGCAGACAGCUCACACCCUCUGCUGCUCAAUUUGAAUCAAUUUGGCAACAGCUUUUGCCACAUGACUGGUAAGUCACUACAAAAAGCAAUUAAAUUAGAGGAUGCUUGUAGCGGGACUGCACUGCCUGAGUGUAGUCUGAAGUCCUGACAGAUUUAGACAAAUGAAAAAAUAAAUAAGAAUUCUAAAAUACACCAAUGAGUUCAAGUUGCUACCUUCUCUGCUAAUAAAAGGCGAAAAAAAAUAAAGACUUAUAGUUAAGCAUUCUCCUUGUGGGAAACUCCAAGAAUGAGAUGCAGGAGUAAGACUGUUAGAAUCACUGUUGUCAACUGCCUUGGCAAGUGUUACAAAUUUCAGGAUGCUUCCUCCCUCCUGAAGUAUUCUUCUACUAGCUCAUCAAAUUUCUCUACAGAAUUCUGCUUUAGAACAUUUAAAGGAGUGAGUAAAUACUGUUCUGCCAAUCCACAUAGAACAUCUUCAUCAGAAGCCAGUGAUUGGCUAACAGGCCUAGUUGAUAUUACUACUGCUGAUCGUUCUCCAUCCAGCUGAGCUGAUACACACUGGGGAUUGUGGCUGUUGAUCUCCAUCUCAAUUCCCUCCCCUUUCUCCUUGCAUGUGACACGACAAAUACAGUCUUUUUUGGAACAAAAACCUGACUCACAGUUCUGCUGAGGAGCCUUAACAUCCCCAAACUCUUCAGACUUGUCAACAUAUUUCUCUGGGGAUUCAAAAACAACUCCUCGAGAGACAGAGUGCUGGGCAACUCUUUUCAAUGGACACAAAGGUUCCUGUUUUUUCUUUUUCUGCUGUACCAGCUCUCGCACAGGCUCUGGAAUUGUGAGGUCAGGAAGUGCCUGGCAGUCAGAACUCAGAUAUUUCUCAAAGUAAAGUUGACACAUGC